rnacentral:piRNA from 1 species
UAUUGGGCAGCACUGCCAUAACCUACGUA